UGUCGGCCGUCACUACAAUAUUUUAGUAGGAGGCCUCGUUUUGAUCCGCUCCUGUCUGCAGUUAGGUUGUUUUUUUUUUUUAUUUAGCUAGGCGCUAAAAUGCUUCGUGUUGAGCGGGACAUAAACAUUGACAAAGACAAAGUGUUUGGUAGGUUUUGUUCUAUGGAGGAUGGUGGAAUACACAAAUGGACUAACGUUAGCCUACACUAAUCUAGGCCUACAGCAGGCAGAGCAGGGACAACAGUUGAGAGGCUGAGUGGACUGGUUGUAUUAAGCUUUGAGAAUGAACGAGCAAAGAAGCUGAACCUAGAGCAGAUUGUUGAGGACUUCGCGGUGCAUAAAGCUCACAGAAUGCCGUUCAGACAGGAUGGUGUUUGCCAGGGAGGUGUGUCUUGAGACGUGUCCAUACCAAAUGAAAUGAAUGUAUCCCUCCUGCCUCUCUCCUCCUCGCCGCUCCUCGUUUUCUGGCCUACUGGGCACAUCUAUUACCCUCUGAUGAAUGACGCUGAGAAUCGUAUCUGUGCUCACUACUGUCACUGCACAGUGUCAGCAAUUCAUCCUGCAUCUGAAGCCGCAGUGUCGUAUGAUCCACUUCAAUAGGACUCUGUUAAUCUCUGCAGGACCAAUUAAAAAAGAAUUACUGGAGAGGCUUUUCACAGGAAUGUUACAGUGUCCAUGGGUUCUGGUUACUUUCAAUGGCCAGAGCAUGUACAAUUUAAAAUGAUAUGCACUUUUUCAUGAGGGUAAUGUUGUUACAGUAUGUUAUGUCAUGAAAUGUCUGGGAUGAGAAAGUCUAGAUUGGUCUCAAGGAAAAGAAAUAAUCUUUCAAUUUCAGAUUUAAUUAGAUUUUCAGUUUUAUCUCGUUAUCUCCUUGAGAUUGAGAUGUUUUUUCAAGAAAGAUCUGUGAACAAAAACACAAAUUAAUUUAAAGGAAUAGUUUGACAUUUUUGGGAAAUACGCUUAUUCUCUUUCUUGCCGAGAGUUAGGUGAGAAGAUUGAUACCAUUCUCAUGUCUGUAUGCUAGCUAAAUAUGAAGCUACCACCAGCAGCCAGCUAACUUGGCUUAUCAUAAAGAUUGGAAACAGCUGGCCUGGCUCUGUAUGAUAACAAAAUAAACCUACCAGCACCAAAGCUCAAUAAUUAUCACGUUUUAUCUUGUUUUUUAAACAGAACCCGUUUUAUGUGGCGUUUUUCAAGCUGUUUUUUGUCAUUGUAAAUUGAAAAUCAUGGGAUUUUAGACUGUUGGUGAGACAAAACAAGUAAUCUGAAGACAUAACCUUGGGCUCUGGGAAAGUUUUCUCAUAUUUUUUAGACCAGAUGAUAAAUCGAUAUAAAAAUAAUUGUUAGAUGCAACCCUUAACGACUAAAAACAAGAUCAGGUCAUGAUUCUUCAUUUUCUUUUGAGACAUACUUAAAUUAUGCUAUAAGACCCAAGUUGGUGUAACUUCAACAAAAGGAAUUUACUGGCUGACAAAUCAACUCACUGGUUUCACAUUUGAAAUUAUAACAUCCAUUACGUCAGUGCAAUAUAAUGGCUUUUGAAACCACUGGUGGGGACCAAAUGCCUCUGAAUGAUCCAAGUGGAUUCCCAGCUGAGCCUCUAAGUGCUACUUUUCAAUUCUAACACCACUUUCUUUCCACUUCUCCUCCACUUCCCUCUAAAAUUACAUUGACAUGACAUUGUGAUAACCCAAUACUACAAUAGAAAAGGCUAAUUAUGAGUGUUUAAGCUCCUUUUGUAAUUAGCUAACUUGGAGUUUCUUACAUUUCUUCCUCAGAAGUUUCUUUUACUCCCCUGACACAAGUGGCAGCAGCUGAACCAAGAUGAACUUAAGAUGAUCUUCACAUGCUACUUUCAGGCUUGGAUCUCACAGUCUCUCUUUUGCACUGAAGCUGAUUUAACAACUGAAAAUACCGUUAUUUUGAGUCAAAGGUUAAUUUCAGUUUAUCUUAUUUUGUCUUAUUUAUGUAGUUUUGGCCAUCUUUCCUAUCAAUAAUAAAAAGAUUGUACUUAACUGAGAAUGCAGCAACAUCGUUUAAAAGAAGUGAUGGGGCAAAAUUCAUGAAAAGAUUUAUUUUAGAAGAGAAAACAAAGGCAGACAGUGAAAUUGACUCAAACUGUCCAUCGCAAACAUCCAUCACAGUUUACAGACUAACUGGUUCAAAUUCAGUAUUCUGCACUUGGCAUAGUUGUGCACAGUUUUCCAGCCAAGUAUCCCCUGGAAUUACAGUCAUAUUGGAUGAUUCCGCACCUCAAAAUUUUUGUCCAAUGCCGACGUUCAGUGCCAGUGCAUGCAGGAAGUCACAUGCCCUUUUGGGUA